GGUUCGAUGGCGUAGUUGGUUAUCGCAUCUGUCUAACAUACGCCAGAACAUGUUCUGCACAGAAGGUCCUCAGUUCGAGCCUGGGUCGAAUCA